rnacentral:rRNA from 1 species
AGUUUGAUCCUGGCUCAGGAUUAACGCUAGCGGCAUGCCUAAGGUAUGCAAGUCGAACGGUUUGAUUUUCGCAAGAAAAUCAAAUAGUGGCAGACGGCUGAGUAACGCGUAAGUACUUACCUCUGUCUCGGGCAUAACUUUGCGAAAGUAAAGGUAAUUCCCGAUGGUCCCUUUAGGGUAAAGAUUUUUCGGACAGAGAUAGGCUUGCGUCCUAUCAGGUAGUUGGUGGGGUAAUGGCCUACCAAGCCGACAACGGGUAGCUGGCCUGAGAGGGUGGUCAACCAGACUGGGACUGAUACACGGGCCAGACUCCUACGGGAGGCAGCAACUAGGAAUUAUGCGCAAUGGAGGAAACUCUGACGCUGCGAUGCCGCGUGGAGGAAGAAGGUCUUCGGAUUGUAAACUCCUUUUGUCGGGGAGCAAUACUGAGAGUACUCGACGGAUAAGUGCCUGCUAACCACGUGCCAGAAGCAUCGGUAAUACGUGGGGCACAAGCGUUAUCCGGUUUUACUGGGCGUAAAGAGAUGCGUAGGCGUUUCUUUAAGUUACUUGUUAAAUCUUAGUGCUUAACACUAAGACAGCAAGUAAUACUAAAGAAAUAGAGUCAGGUAGAGAAAAGAGGAAUUCCUGGG